AAAUGUGUAUUCUGAACACCUGGGGCGGGUUUCAGUUGCUUAAAUAUCAGCCCUCAUACUACUCUAGCUUUCAGCUCCUUGAAAGGGUAGUGUGGGGCUGGUGGAGAUGACCUGGGACUGGUGGAGCCACCUAUCUUCUGAAGUAGCAGGAUGACUGGCUGUGUGAUGAAAGGGAAAGCAGAGGGUGCUGUAUACCUUGACUUCAGCAAGUCCUUUGACACCACUUCCUGCAGUACUCUGGCUACCAAAUUGGUGAGAUCUGGAUUGAAUAAGGAGAUAAUAAGGUCUAACACUUGGCUUGAACUGUGGAUCUUGAGAAAAAAACUACCAGCUUUUGGUAAUAGGGAUGGAGGGGGAAUUAUUUUACUUUCCACUUUGUUUCCUCUUUAAUAACAGCCUCACAUAUAUAGGCACUGCAC